AUGAACGCUGGCGGCGUGCCUAAUACAUGCAAGUCGAGCGAACAGACGAGGAGCUUGCUCCUCUGACGUUAGCGGCGGACGGGUGAGUAACACGUGGAUAACCUACCUAUAAGACUGGGAUAACUUCGGGAAACCGGAGCUAAUACCGGAUAAUAUAUUGAACCGCAUGGUUCAAUAGUGAAAGACGGUUUUGCUGUCACUUAUAGAUGGAUCCGCGCCGCAUUAGCUAGUUGGUAAGGUAACGGCUUACCAAGGCAACGAUGCGUAGCCGACCUGAGAGGGUGAUCGGCCACACUGGAACUGAGACACGGUCCAGACUCCUACGGGAGGCAGCAGUAGGGAAUCUUCCGCAAUGGGCGAAAGCCUGACGGAGCAACGCCGCGUGAGUGAUGAAGGUCUACGGAUCGUAAAACUCUGUUAUUAGGGAAGAACAAAUGUGUAAGUAACUAUGCACGUCUUGACGGUACCUAAUCAGAAAGCCACGGCUAACUACGUG
rnacentral:rRNA from 1 species